rnacentral:sRNA from 1 species
UAAGCAGACGGUGUAGGCUGCUGCCGGUUGCGCUACAACAACAACAGCAGCAGCAGCGAUGGCGAGAAAACCAAAACAAAAUAUAUAAACAAACGCUGGCAAGUUUUGCAUUAAAAAUUGCAAACAAGAGGAAAGUCCUCACACGAAAAAAAUGGAGUGUCUAUUGCAAUGCGUCACCCCACAAUACACACAAUACACAAACACAUGGAUGCUUACCUUCUUUUGCUCCAAUUCUUGUAUCAGUACCUGAAAAUGUAAUAUUUGGGAAUCGGGCGGCGCUCAACUAAAAAUGCCCGAUCACCGACCUUUGCCGUCUCUUCCAGUGGUCCCGCAGUCAGAAAUUUUGAUAUUAGAAAGUACAAUUCUGCAAUAGAAAUAGAGCGGUGCACAAUAAAUGCAACAAGUUGCUUGCCAAAUUCACAUAA